AGCUUUGCACAGUGGCAGUAUCGUAGCCAAUGAGGUUUAUCCGAGGCGCGAUUAUUGCUAAUUGUGCACAGAACCACUAAAUGACACUGCAGGAAAUCCCUUGGGU
rnacentral:snRNA from 1 species